AGGGCUGUGCAGAAUGUGCUUUGUUAAACAAGUGCUUGAAGGCAGUAUGCUUGGUAAAAGUCAUCGCCAUUCUCUAAUCUUGAGUACCCAGGGACACGAUACACUGCGGAAGGCUGCAGGGACCUCUGCCCAGGAAAGCCAGGUGGUUUCCAAAAGGAAAAGCUUUGGGAGAUAGAAGUCCUCGUUUUGACCUCUGCCCUCCUUGUACACCAGGAGCCAGAAAAACUUCAUCUCUUUUACAAGAAACAUUGAGAUUCCUGUAAAAUUAAGAAAUCACACAAUUUGAUGGUCUACAUUAUCUAAAGCAAAUGAGACUUCUAUUUGGAACAAAGACUACCUUGUUGGGAAAUGAGUCUGCAAGUUAAAGUGUUUUCUGGGAUCACUCUAAGCUCCAGUGUCAAGGAGUCAAGUCCUUCAGGAAUUCUCUGCCUCCACUCCCUGUGGCAGAGCUAGAGUGGCUGCCAUGCUUCUGAGCUCAGCCAGCAUCCAGAGAGAGAGUGAGAUACAGCCUCCUCUUCUUGAAGCACCCACUUCUAAACUCUGUGACAGUUUUCUUGGAACUCUGUUAUGUGGAUCUGGAGAUGACAAUGUCACAGCACUCCCCUCUAAGCCUAAAUUCCCCCACACCGAUGAACUAUUAGAGCUCAGAUGGAAAAGAAUGGUGUUACUGAGACCCUUCAAGAUUCCCAGUGUAAUUCAAUAAAGAAAAGGCAACACAAAGGGGUUGUAUAGAAUUCGCCACAUUAUGGACCCAUGUCAUAGAGAGAAUCCACGGUGCAUUUGUUAGCUGCAUUUAAAUGACAACACUUUCAGAUCCAAGAUUUAUUUGGGAUAAAAAUUUACCUGGAUGCAAGGCUAUUCAGAAUGAAGAUUAAUGAUAUGGUUUGGCUGUGUCCCCACCCAAACUUCAUCUUGAAUUCCCACGUGUUGUGAGAGGGACCUGGUGGGAGAUAAUUGAACCAUGGGGGCAGGUCUUUCUCAUGCUGUUCUCAUGAGAGUGAAUAAGUCUCAUGAAACCUGAUGGUUUUAUAAGGGGGAAUUUCCCUGCACAAGCUCUCUCUCUGCCUUUUGCCAUCCAUGUAAGACGUGACUUGGUCCUCCUUGCCUUCUACCAUGAUUAUGAGGCCUCCCCAGCCACGUGGAACUGUGAGUCCAUUAAACCUCUUUCUUUUGUAAAUUU
ensembl:lncRNA HISLA HIF1A stabilizing long noncoding RNA